AUUGAACGCUGGCGGCAGGCUUAACACAUGCAAGUCGAGCGGUAGCACAGGGGAGCUUGCUCCCUGGGUGACGAGCGGCGGACGGGUGAGUAAUGUCUGGGAAACUGCCUGAUGGAGGGGGAUAACUACUGGAAACGGUAGCUAAUACCGCAUAACGUCGCAAGACCAAAGAGGGGGACCUUCGGGCCUCUUGCCAUCAGAUGUGCCCAGAUGGGAUUAGCUAGUAGGUGGGGUAAUGGCUCACCUAGGCGACGAUCCCUAGCUGGUCUGAGAGGAUGACCAGCCACACUGGAACUGAGACACGGUCCAGACUCCUACGGGAGGCAGCAGUGGGGAAUAUUGCACAAUGGGCGCAAGCCUGAUGCAGCCAUGCCGCGUGUGUGAAGAAGGCCUUCGGGUUGUAAAGCACUUUCAGCGAGGAGGAAGGUGGUGAACUUAAUACGUUCAUCAAUUGACGUUACUCGCAGAAGAAGCACCGGCUAACUCCGUGCCAGCAGCCGCGGUAAUACGGAGGGGUGCAGCGUUAAUCGGAAUUACUGGGGCGUAAAGCGCACGCAGGCGGUUUGUUAAGUCAGAUGUGAAAUCCCCGGGCUCAACCUGGGAACUGCAUUUGAAACUGGCAAGCUAGAGUCUCGUAGAGGGGGGUAGAAUUCCAGGUGUAGCGGUGAAAUGCGUAGAGAUCUGGAGGAAUACCGGUGGCGAAGGCGGCCCCCUGGACGAAGACUGACGCUCAGGUGCGAAAGCGUGGGGAGCAAACAGGAUUAGAUACCCUGGUAGUCCACGCUGUAAACGAUGUCGAUUUGGAGGUUGUGCCCUUGAGGCGUGGCUUCCGGAGCUAACGCGUUAAAUCGACCGCCUGGGGAGUACGGCCGCAAGGUUAAAACUCAAAUGAAUUGACGGGGGCCCGCACAAGCGGUGGAGCAUGUGGUUUAAUUCGAUGCAACGCGAAGAACCUUACCUACUCUUGACAUCCAGAGAACUUAGCAGAGAUGCUUUGGUGCCUUCGGGAACUCUGAGACAGGUGCUGCAUGGCUGUCGUCAGCUCGUGUUGUGAAAUGUUGGGUUAAGUCCCGCAACGAGCGCAACCCUUAUCCUUUGUUGCCAGCGGUUCGGCCGGGAACUCAAAGGAGACUGCCAGUGAUAAACUGGAGGAAGGUGGGGAUGACGUCAAGUCAUCAUGGCCCUUACGAGUAGGGCUACACACGUGCUACAAUGGCAUAUACAAAGAGAAGCGACCUCGCGAGAGCAAGCGGACCUCAUAAAGUAUGUCGUAGUCCGGAUUGGAGUCUGCAACUCGACUCCAUGAAGUCGGAAUCGCUAGUAAUCGUAGAUCAGAAUGCUACGGUGAAUACGUUCCCGGGCCU
rnacentral:rRNA from 1 species